UACGGAGGGGGCAAGCGUUAUUCGGAAUUAUUGGGCGUAAAGGGCUCGUAGGCGGCCAACUAAGUCAUACGUGAAAUCCCUCGGCUUAACCGGGGAACUGCGUCUGAUACUGGAUGGCUUGAGAUUGGGAGAGGGAUGCGGAAUUCCAGGUGUAGCGGUGAAAUGCGUAGAUAUCUGGAGGAACACCGGUGGCGAAGGCGGCAACCUGGGCCAAAACUGACGCUGAGGAGCGAAAGCCAGGGGAGCAAACGGG
rnacentral:rRNA from 1 species